rnacentral:rRNA from 1 species
AUUCCAGCUCCAAUAGCGUAUAUUAAAGUUGUUGCGGUUAAAAAGCUCGUAGUUGGAUUUCUGUCGGGAAUGGACGGUCCACACGCCGUGUGAGUAUCUGUAUCAGUCCUGGCAUCCUCCUAGAGAACGUACCGCUCUUAACUGAGUGGUGCGGAAUCUAGGACUUUUACUUUGAGGAAAUUUGAGUGUUUACGGCAGGCAAUCGCCUUGAAAACGUUAGCAUGGAAUAAAAACAUAAGACUUUUUGUUCUUCUUGUUGGUUCAUGAACGGAAAGUAAUGAUUGAUAGGGAUAUUUGGGGGCAUUCGUAUUAUGCGGUCAGAGGUGGAAUUCUUGGAUUCGCAUACGACGAACUACUGCGAAAGCAUUUGCCAAGGAUGUUUUCAUCA